rnacentral:lncRNA from 1 species
CGCGGUGCAUGGGGCUAGAACUCAGGGCCCAGCAGGUCUGACAAUGCAGGUUUCCCCGCUCGCCUGUUGGGUUUUUGAAACGCCCUCAGCGGGGUUUUCCUCCUAAUUCUGGUUUGGAGGAGCCAUCUCUCUCCAUCCCGUCUGCCAGCGGGGUUUGCUUCACACACAGACGUGGGCAGAUGGCAUCGGGGACACAGGGAAACCUGACCUUAGAGGAAAUGGAAAAGUUGGAGAGACACUGAGCACUGAUACGAAAUAAUUCUCUUGCUGAAAUACACGAAAGGAGUCCCAGCAGCCAUAUUAGUAUUUCCACGUCCUGUGUCAGCCCCAAGUAGAGAGAACUUGGAAUGGGAGGGGAAAUGGCAGCCAUCAGGAAAUGAAAUGCUGGCCCAGAGAAUUCUAAGCAAGUCAAUCACCAGUCCAAGUAAGGAGGUGUUUUUUGUUUUUGUUUUUGUUUUUGUUUUUGUUUUUAAAUAUCCACUUGCCAUUUGUUUUACCCAAUUCAAAAUUUUUUCCCAAGAAAAAAAAAUACACUUGUAAAAUGCCUCAUUAACAGCAAAGAUGAAUUGGACCUCAACUUUUGAAUGCCAUGCUGCUUUAAAGGAAACUGUAGAAGUUCGUGGAAUGAAAGAAUACUGCCAGCAUGCAUUCGGACUAUUUUCCAUCUGUGUGGUAGAGUCUGAGCUGUGUGUUCUACAGAAGCUCCAGUUGGCAGAAGGACGACUUUGGCCCUGAAUUUUCAUUUAUUUUUGUUUCAAAAAUGAAAGGAUAGUUGCUAUUUUUCCAAAAUUUAGAAUUUUAAAUCACUACCCACUUUUGAUCUCUGAUUUAAAUCUUGUUUUGAGAGACACAUUAGACAGUCUCUACAUAUUAUAUUAUCUUGCAAGGGAAAAAAGGAGAAAGAUCGGAAAGUGCUGACUUUCUGUGUCAAAUGAAUGGAUUAUUGGCUUCAUUCUUCUUUAUUUUAUAAAGGUUUUCUUUUCAAGAAAUGCAGAACUUUACCAAUACAAUAUAUAUCAGUCUAAUCGGCAGUCAUAAAAUGGGUGGCAUGAGGGUGGAAUAUGGCAGCAGGGAGAUCUCAGCUGGCAGCAAAGCAUGAAGUGGUGAUUGUGUUUUUAUGGAAAGCCUGUUUUGUCCAGUGGCUGAUGAAAUUCAAAAUGGUCCCCUAAGCCUAUCUCUGAAGCCAGCAGUUCAGAAGCAGUAGAGCUAGCGGCUCUCUUAACAUCUGUACCCUGCCCCCUAUUUACCCAGCGACACCCCAGCCCAGAGCACCUCCAAAUGUAAGACUUAAUAUAACCAAAUGGAAGCUGCUAGGAGGUACUCAGUUCCAGGAUCAACAGUUUUUGCUUUAAAAAGAAGGUAGCAGUUCAGCCCCUUGUUUGUUUUUGCCUACGCAUUUCCCUACCAGCGGGAGACCAUUACCCGGGACAAUGUUUUAUUCCAUUGUCAUUAUCUCCUACGGAACUAAAACAAUGCUCUGUUUGGCCUCCCAGGCAAGGGGGAUUUGUUCCGCUCUUCUUUAAGCAGAGUUUCCAACUGAGUUUCUGACCCAGUCACUUGAUAUCCAGCAGGGAUACCUGGUGACAAUUUUUUAAAAAUCUGCUAUCUUGUGUUUUGUAAUUUCAUUCUCUGAGAAGUAGCCUAGAAACUCGAUUCUCAAUCAAGAGGAAUCACACCAUGGCUAAGGGAAGAGGGUUUGCUCAAGCUGCAUGAGCUCUAUAAUUUAAAUCAGCCAGAUAGGAUUUAUUUAUAGUUGUUUUAUCUUUUUUUGUUUUGUUAUUGAAUAGCAAACCCCAAAAGGUUUCAUAACAUUGUGUUGUUGAUUCUCAAACCCCAAAAGGUUGGGAACCACUAGAGCUGAGAUGUUUUCCAUUAGACCAGGGUGUUUUUUUCUAUUUCUUUUUAAAUACAUAAGUAAAUUAUAAAUGUAGAUAGAGAUGAGAUUGAGAUAGAGAUAAAUGAUGCCAAGAUUUCUAACAUUUAUGACAGAUGUUGAUGAACAAUAACUCGUUGGAGCUAUUUUGUCAUACUUGAGAUUUUCCAGAAAAUAGAACAAGCCCACAGAAUGGGUUUAAUCUGCCAAAGCAUCUCCCUCUUUACAAGCAUCUACACAGGCCUCCAGCCCUAAGUACUUUCACCUGGACAAUGUUAUGAAGCUUAAUCCAGUACUAGUAGCAGAAAGACUUGUUUACUUUGGAGCUAAGGAGUGAGUAGGACACUUAAGACUUUGUUUUGUCCUUGGACUCAAGGCAAACUAAUGGUUAGCAUCACUCCAGUUGUUGCUAUCAUUUUAUUACUCAUAUGUAGCUAUGAGUAACUUGAGAAACUGAAAUGUAACUGCUGCAUAUAAUAAAAAAUCAAUGGCCAAGACUGGCUACCUGGCUCUUCCGAAAACUUCCUUGUUUUGCCUUUUCAAACAUCAGGGGCGUGACUUAUAACAGCCAAAUUUUGCCAGCAUGCUGUGUCAUGGGUUCCAGUCCGUGGAGCUCCGUCAUACUCUGUUGGGCAUCCUGUGUCUUAUUCCUCUCUUUAGGUCCAGUUUCUACAUACCUUAUCUGUGUUAUCUCAGGCUUCAGAAGCUUCUCCGUAACGUGGGCUACUUUCCCCUCAUCACUGGGUAUUUAUUUAUUUAUUUUUACUGAAGCCUGAGCCCUGUAACGUUACCACACUGGCCACAGCUUCAGGAGAGAGAUCACUGCUCUCAAGAACUUACAGUCUAGUGAUGGAUACAAAGGUACAUGAAAAAAUAACUAGCAAUGGAAAACAAAGCAUGAAAUGCGAUGAAACGUGGUCAGGAUGCUAAGUGCUAUGACAUAUCACACUCGGAACCUCACUUUGCUCAUAUGAAAAGCUGGAGAGAAUCUUCCCAAGCUUAGCACAUCCUCAUAGGAUUUUGGUGAAAAUCAGAUGAGAUGGUAGGUAUGGAAGAUUUCUGUCAACUACAAGUCAAUUACGCCAAAAAAGAGGAAAGGCCAUGUGAGGACAUAAGGAGGAGACAGCCAUCUAUAAGCCAAGAAGAAAGCCCUCACUAGAAACCAACUCUAAUGGCACCCUGAUCUUGGAUUUCUAGCCCCGAAUGCUUCAUCUGGAGAAUUUCAAAGAGACAAGAUUCUAUUUGGACAGGGCUCAGCAUGGGUGGUUCAUCCGUGCCUCACAUGGUAUUAUCACGAACCCUCAUAAGGCUGAAUUCAGCUGGAAAUGGAACAUCAAAGAUGAUCUCAUUCACAUGAGUAUUGAAUAAGUAUGAAGCCAAUCAAGCUUUGCCAUGGAGUACCUGGACCAAUCAGUUACCUUGGUUGACUCUUAGUUCCUUCUUGGUAUCUCUGGUUCUAUUUAACACAAUGCACCCGGGUUCUAUGGCUCCAUAAGAGAUGCUCAAAUAAA